CACAUGCUUUGAGCUUGUGGAGAGUGAAAUGAUGGCAAAUUUCUGAACAACUCAGUCAGCUCAGCAAAGUAUUUACGAUUAUCUGCUAAAAAUGAUCGUUGUGAGACAGAGCUUAAGCUAACAUGGGAAAUCUGUGCUGAAAGAAUUACAGAUAUUGUAGCAACCCAAAGGAAGCAUACUGUUCACAUUCCUCUUAUUUCUUUUGACUCUUGUAUCCAAUGGAAAAGUUCUUGAUAAGCUUUAUUGCACUGCAGAGGGUAUAAACAAUGCACUUUGAAAUCUGCUGAGUUUCAACCCAAAACUUAUCUUUUCAUUUGUUUCCUGAAUUGUCCCACAGACACAAAUCCACAGCACACAUAUGUUUAUAAAGAACAGAGUACAUGUAUUACUGCCAUACAAUCCCUUCCUUUCUUGGUUUUUUUUCCCUCAGUAUUUCUUAAUUGAUUUUUUUUUACUUGCUACAACAUUCUCUAUAUGCUGGACUGCAAUGUGGUGUUUGAUGUCUGCAAUCAAAAUGCAACAAGAGGAAAAAGUUCUUCAGGUCUCAGUCUCAAAUAGAAAUUUGGGCUGCUGAAGACACUGAGAUCACCUGCCAUCCCCACUGCCUGAGAUGUUUGUGUUGCUUUCCUGGGCCUGCCAGCAAGAAAGCUGAGGUGGAGGAUGAGCCUGAUGUCCUGGAAAAGCCGCAGAGUCAGACUGAGUGAGCAGGGGUGUGGCAGAGUUUCUCAGCUCCUCUUGCUGCACAGAGCCUUUCCACAAAGGCAGAGCCGGGACUUGUCUGUAUUUCCCUUCCUGCUGUCCUUCUGAACACCAUUCUACACACAAACGUGCCCAUGGACUAAAUACCUUG
rnacentral:lncRNA from 1 species